rnacentral:lncRNA from 1 species
GCCACGCGGGGCAGGGGCAAGACCUGCGUCAGACUCAGCACGUGCCGCCCACCUGGUAUAUAAAGGUGGGAGCCCUCAGAGCCCACAGCAUAGGCUGCCUUGUAGGCAAAUUGGCAGCAGUUCGGUUGUGUGUGCCACCACAGAGGCUCAUAGAGGCAGACGUUGAGCUAAAGAAGGGAGGCUUAUAGAGGCAGACGUCAAGCUAGAGAAGCCUGGAAAAUGAACUCUUCUGGAAACAACGAAAAAUUUGAGGGCAGUACCUCCAGACCUUUCUUCUAUGUGCCGCUCAUGGCCCAGCAGCCUCGCGUGGGUCCCUGGUAUCGGGAUCCUGCCUGUAAUCCCCUCUUCGUUUCUGGGGCAGGAUUACUGAAGCAUAGACUCUGUAAGCAGCUACAGUCCAGUGGAAGACCAAUGCCCUUGCAGCCAGAAGCCCUGGAGUCAAGGCACUGCUCUGCCUUUUACCCCAGAUACUGACUACCAAUUGCAAGGUGGCUUCCUCAUCUAUAGUCUAGAGAUCAUGGCCUGACUUUAACAGCAUGGUGUGAGAAUUAAGUGAACUCAUUUGUAAAUGGUGGUCUGUAACUUGUGUGUAUUGAGUCUGUUACUUGAAACCCUUCCACGUUCACACUGCAUGACUUUGACUUCUUUCCCCGGUGGCAUCCAGACCUUUGGUUGGUGCGUGGGCCAGAAGUUCCCUGGCAUGUUCAUUGCCUGGGACUUCUGGUAUACAGUUUUCUGGCUUAGUCUCAUCUUCCUGAGAUGAGUGUGUAAGCUCUACAGCAAGAAAAAAAACAAACACUGGAAUUCACCUGUUUGAGAACACAGCAUUGCCUGGCUUUCUCAUGGGCUAGAGAUCCUAAUGUCAUCAUAAGUGACCUUCUGAAGAGCUAGACAACAGAAAAAAGUGGAAAUAACUAUCCUAGAAGAGCUAGCUGUACAUGAAAACAAAGUAGCUGUUCUUAGAGCAGUUACUAGUGUUUACACAGAGAUGAUCUGUGAGCUCCAAGUUCUGAUUCUAGAUCACAAAAUCAGAUCCUAAGAUCACAAAGUUUUCUGCUAACUUAGAGACAAAGCAUAAAAUCAAACAAGUUUCCUGAUAUAAUAAAUAUAACAUGCUAAGUUAAAAUAGCCACUAUCAUAUUUAAAAUCUCCUACAUGCCAUUUCAGUCAGCAGAAAACUACAACAAACCAAAAUUAAAAGGGUCUUUUUUAGUUUUUAGGUGGCUCUGGGCUUCCCUUGUGGCUCAGCUGGUAAAGAGUCAGACAAAACUACUGAGUGAUUUUCACUUUCACAUGGUGGCUCAGACCCUGAAGGAGGGCAUGACAACCCACUCCAGUAUUCUUGCUUGGAGAAUCCCAUAGACUGGCAGGCUACAGUACAGGAUCACAAAGAGUUGGAUGCGACAGGAGCAACUUUUUUUUUUUAACUAAAGGUUAACAAAAUAUGCC